GAUGAACGCUGGCGGCGUGCCUAAUACAUGCAAGUCGAGCGAACGGACGAGAAGCUUGCUUUUCUGAUGUUAGCGGCGGACGGGUGAGUAACACGUGGAUAACCUACCUAUAAGACUGGGAUAACUUCGGGAAACCGGAGCUAAUACCGGAUAAUAUUUGAACCGCAUGGUUCAAAAGUGAAAGACGGUCUUGCUGUCACUUAUAGAUGGAUCCGCGCUGCAUUAGCUAGUUGGUAAGGUAACGGCUUACCAAGGCAACGAUGCAUAGCCGACCUGAGAGGGUGAUCGGCCACACUGGAACUGAGACACGGUCCAGACUCCUACGGGAGGCAGCAGUAGGGAAUCUUCCGCAAUGGGCGAAAGCCUGACGGAGCAACGCCGCGUGAGUGAUGAAGGUCUUCGGAUCGUAAAACUCUGUUAUUAGGGAAGAACAUAUGUGUAAGUAACUGUGCACAUCUUGACGGUACCUAAUCAGAAAGCCACGGCUAACUACGUG
rnacentral:rRNA from 1 species